rnacentral:rRNA from 1 species
UACAGAGGGGGCAAGCGUUGUUCGGAAUUACUGGGCGUAAAGGGCGCGUAGGCGGCCUGUUAAGUCGAACGUGAAAUCCCCGGGCUCAACCCGGGAACUGCGUCCGAAACUGGCAGGCUCGAAUCCGGGAGAGGGAUGCGGAAUUCCAGGUGUAGCGGUGAAAUGCGUAGAUAUCUGGAGGAACAUCGGUGGCGAAGGCGGCAUCCUGGACCGGUAUUGACGCUGAGGCGCGAAAGCGUGGGGAGCAAACGGG